rnacentral:rRNA from 1 species
UACGUAGGGCGCGAGCGUUGUCCGGAAUCAUUGGGCGUAAAGAGCUCGUAGGCGGCCGGUUGCGUCUGCUGUGAAAUCCCGGGGCUUAACCCCGGGCGUGCAGUGGAUACGGGCUGGCUGGAGGCAGGCAGGGGAGAAUGGAAUUCCCGGUGUAGCGGUGAAAUGCGCAGAUAUCGGGAGGAACACCGGUGGCGAAGGCGGUUCUCUGGGCCUGUGCUGACGCCGAGGAGCGAAAGCGUGGGGAGCGAACAGG